CGAGCGCAUGAGUUGUGUUGGACCUGUGACUGCCGAAAGGACCCCCGCCGUUGUGCGGCUGACUAUCGGCGCCUGUGUCCCCUUCAAUUGUUCGGCCAAUGUGCCUGAGCUUUUGACGAGUGCUUGCAUUCUGCUACCAGUACCACUGGAAGUUGCAUUGCAAUAUAGUUGAUUUCAUCGUGUGCGCCGUGUGGGAGUAACACGUUGACUAUAAACGUUCACGGUGUUGCCUCGUGUAGCCGCCUGCUUAGGUUGGCAUCAUCAAGGCCACCUCGUGUACGUUUUUGGUCUCGGAUGCAGCAAACGUAAAAGGCCGAUGGUGUUCUGGCGCCACGUGCCUAGGGAAAAUGGCCGUUUGGAAACAAUGACAGUCAGGUCGGUUGAUGCAUCAUGCGGAAGCCGAUGUU
rnacentral:misc_RNA from 1 species